AACCAUUCAUAAGCUUGAUAUGUUGGCAUGAGUUCACACACACACGUUGAGUAUUGCAUUUGAUGAGUAAAGGUUAAUUUUAUUCUCGCACUAUUGAUAUCGUUUUAUUGUUAAUGCUAAGUUCCAAUCCUGAGACACGGCAAGCUAUUAAGUCAUGUUUGUUUAGCAUUGAGUCACUGCAUUGUUUGAGGACAAACAAUAGUUUAAGUUUGGGGGAUUUGAUAAGUAUGUUUUUACACACUGAUUU
rnacentral:lncRNA from 1 species